CAGUCUCAGGAGGUGAGCGUGUGGGCUGAGGACAAGGGGCCCCAAGCAAAGAAUCCUGUCCCACCCUGUCUCUCCUGGUCAGAUAAACAACUGUGAUGAUUUCACAGCCCGGACUUGCUGGAAGCCUGGAGGCUGAUUUCCUCACACUGUUGGUGGUGCAUUUGAAAACAUGGGACACAGCCUGUGCAGCAACGCCCUUGGCCAGUGACGACACUCAGCAGCCCUUCCCAAGUCUUACUGAGGAUCCCCUGCCUGUCAAGAACUCCCCUGGGCCCUGAGAAUGCCCCGUGAACAGAAGAGAACAGGCAUCGAACGGACAAAGAGGAGCUGGGGUGAAGAAAACUGGUAACUCGCGAUAUGCAUACUCCUACCGAAGAGGUCAAUUUUAAACUCUGAAACAGGUCUUACCUGCUGCUACUUCUCUCUAUCCCUCAGCCAUCUUCCUGACCUGGUGAUUUGAUUUGAAUUAACAAGGUGAAGAAAUGACAGUCCUGCAUUUAAGCUACAAAAGUCUGUGACCUUUGCCUGGCCUUCUCGGCUGGCACACUUUGAUGAAGCCAGUUUCUCUAUUGGAGAGACCUACAGUGAGAGGAGCUGGAGGGGAGGCCUCUGGUCAAUAUCCACUGGAGAACUGAGACCUUCCAUCCAUAGCCCUUGAGAAACUGAGAGCUUGGAAGUGACUGAGAAGCAGAUCCUUCCUCAGAUGAGCCUUUAGGGGAGACUGCAGACGCUGGGCUGACAUUUUUGACUGCAGGCUUGUCGGAGAUUGCAGAGCGGGGGACCCAGCUAAGCCGAACAUGACUUGGGACCCAUUGAAGCUGUGAGCUAAUAAAUG
rnacentral:lncRNA from 1 species